UGAGUACGAGAUGCUACGGCAUCGAAGCAGUCUAUGUCAUACUUCCAAGAAAAGCUUGCACUGUCAGAAACAGAUAAUGCCUGUACCAUAACCGACACAGGUGGGUAGGUAGAGUAUACUAAGGGGCGCGAGAUAACUCUCUCUAAGGAACUCGGCAAAAUGACUCCGUAACUUCGGGAGAAGGAGUGCCUUAUUUUUAAGGUUGCAAUAACAAGAUCCAAGCAACUGUUUACCAAAAACACAGGUCUCCGCUAAGUCGUAAGACGAUGUAUGGGGGCUGACGCCUGCCCAGUGCCAGAAGGUUAAAGAAGUCGGUUAGCAUUCGCGAAGCUGGUAACUGAAGCCCUGGUGAACGGCGGCCGUAACUAUAACGGUCCUAAGGUAGCGAAAUUCCUUGUCGGGUAAGUUCCGACCCGCACGAAAGGCGUAAUGAUUUGGAUACUGUCUCGGAGAGGGGCUCGGUGAAAUAGACUUGUCUGUGAAGAUGCGGACUACCUGCACCUGGACAGAAAGACCCUAUGAAGCUUUACUGUAACUUGAAAUUGAAAUUGGACUUUAUUUGCGCAGUAUAGGUGGGAGGCGUUGAAAAUAUUCUUGCGGGAAUAUUGGAGCCAUCAGUGAGAUACCACUCUUGUAAUGUUAGAUUUCUAACUUUAUAUCAUUAUCUGGUUAAAGAACAGUUUCAGGCGGGCAGUUUGACUGGGGCGGUCGCCUCCCAAAUGGUAACGGAGGCGCACAAAGGUUUCCUCUGAACGGGUAGAAAUCGUAUCUAGAGUGUAAAGGCAUAAGGAAGCUUGACUGUGAGACCUACAAGUCGAGCAGGGACGAAAGUCGGUCUUAGUGAUCUGACGGUGCUGAGUGGAAAGGCCGUCACUCAACGGAUAAAAGUUACUCUAGGAUAACAGGCUGAUCUCCCCCAAGAGUUCACAUCGACGGGGAGGUUUGGCACCUCGAUGUCGGCUCAUCGCAUCCUGGGGCGGUAGUACGUCCCAAGGGUUGGGCUGUUCGCCCAUGAAAGCGGUACGCGAGCUGGGUUCAGAACGUCGUGAGACAGUUCGGUCCAUAUCCGGUGUAGGCGUUAGAAUAUUGAGAGGAGCCUUCUUUAGUACGAGAGGACCGAGAAGGACAUACCUCUGGUGUACCAGUUAUCGUGCCAACGGUAAACGCUGGGUAGCUAUGUAUGGAGUGGAUAACCGCUGAAAGCAUCUAAGUGGGAAGCCCACCUCAAGAUAAGUAUUCUCAUG
rnacentral:rRNA from 1 species